UUACGAGGUCAGGACACUGUGAGGAUUGACAGAUUGAAAGCUCUUUCUUGAUUCAGUGGGUGGCGGUGCAUGGCCGUUCUUAGUUGGUGGAGUGAUUUGUCUGGUUAAUUCCGUUAACGAACGAGACCUUAACCUGCUAAAUAGUCACGCGAACCGGUCCGCAAGGGCUCAAAGUUCGCGGCUCGACUUCUUAGAGGGACUAUUCGCACCCGCCAGCGAAUGGAAGUUUGAGGCAAUAACAGGUCUGUGAUGCCCUUAGAUGUUCUCGGCCGCACGCGCGUUACACUGACGGAGUCAACGAGCGUUUUUCCUUGCCCGACAGGGCUGGGUAACCUCCUGAAACUCCGUCGUGAUGGGGAUAGAUCAUUGCAAUUAUUGAUCUUGAACGAGGAAUUCCUAGUAGGCGCGAGUCACCAACUCGCGCCGAUUACGUCCCUGCCCUUUGUACACACCGCCCGUCGCUCCUACCGAUUGAACGGUCCGGCGAGAACUCCGGAUGGUC
rnacentral:rRNA from 1 species